CUUCAUCCUAACCGGCCGGGUGCAGGGAAGAUCGUGAAAGUCGAUCGCUGCCCCGCAACUGUGAGUCCGACGAAAACCGCAGGCGCGCCGCGAGGGACGCGGCGUGCGGCCACUGCCGCCCCGCGCGGGUGGUGGAAAGGCGCGGUGAGUAGGACGACGACGAGCCAGGAAACCUGCUCGGCCGGCACGCGACCU
rnacentral:ncRNA from 2 species